rnacentral:rRNA from 1 species
AGCGAACGUUAGCGGCAGGCCUAACACAUGCAAGUCGCACGAGAAUUCGGUUUCGGCCGAUAGUAAAGUGGCGGACGGGUACGUAACACGUGGAUAAUCUGCCCUCCGGCGGGGGAUAACUGUCCGAAAGGAUAGCUAAUACCGCAUUCGUCAACGAGGUCUUCGGACCUUGUUGGGAAAGGUGGCCUCUUCAUGAAAGCUACCACCGGGGGAUGAGUCCGUGGCCCAUCAGCUAGUUGGCGGGGUAAUGGCCCACCAAGGCGAAGACGGGUAGCUGGUCUGAGAGGAUGAUCAGCCACACUGGAACUGAGACACGGUCCAGACUCCUACGGGAGGCAGCAGUGGGGAAUAUUGGGCAAUGGGCGCAAGCCUGACCCAGCCAUGCCGCGUGAGUGAUGAAGGCCUUCGGGUCGUAAAGCUCUGUGGGGAGGGAAGAAAAACCUUGUGGCCAACAUCCACGAGGCUUGACGGUACCUCCUUAGCAAGCACCGGCUAACUCCGUGCCAGCCGCCGCGGUAA